UAUCUUUUCCCCUGCAAGUCCUCUCUGGCGAUAUAUACCCGCCCUCUCUGUUCUUCUUUAAUCAAUCUCCUCUGUUUUUUCCACGAAGAGAGAGAGCUCUAGCUCUUCGUCCUCGCAACCCUAUAGUUCUUUCUCGUUCUUCCACUAUUCGUUUCUUCAAUCGCAAUCUUCCCCAGUGAUAUGUUCCAGUCAUAAUUAAUUUGGGUUCCUUACUAGCAAUGGGAUGAUAUCUCUAAAGGGUUUACCAGGCAUGAUGAACCUGUUAAUGGCCGAUCUCAUGUGGUGUUGGCAUUCAUUUGACUUCUCCAGACUAUCUUCUUGAUGAGGUAUAUUGCAUUCAGCUCCUGAUGAAGAGGGCAUCAGGCAUAUUUUUACCUGUAUUUCUAUAAUGGGAAAGACAGAAGUGACUAGUGAUGGUUCAAAGCAGUUUAAGCCAAGUCAGUUGAGUUUGACACUGGAGUAGACACUACUUUAGCCCCGGAAAAAAUAGAUUGUGUGGAGUGCUAAUAUGAUGUCUCACUUGAAACCAGAUAUAGUAAUAAGUUUCAAGUCUCCCACAUUGCAAAUUAUUCAAGAGGAGAAUUAAGUUCUUUAAUGCCAACCACGUCACUGGAUCAGCUUAUCUUUUCUUCGCAUUUUACAUUCUCAACUAUAUUUUUCAAGAAGUUGAAGCACCUGAGUAGUUUACCAGCCUGGCCAUAGGGUCAGAAAGUGUUUUGGUAGGCUUAAUCUAAGUUAAUUUAAAAAAUGUUUGAUUGCAGCAAGAGAAAUUCUGAUUUCUCAGAUGAUACAUGUGGUGAGGCAAACAGCUGGGGACGAGUUGUUGCAUACUUUGGUUAAAUACAACAAAAACAAGUUAUGAAUAGUCUGUAAGUUUGGUAAAGGGAGACACCGUAAUCUAGCAUAUAUCAGCACAGAUGAUCGAAAGCAUGGUUAUAUAGUAAAGGCACACAUCUUUUUCUGACAUGAUGUUGAAACAACUACUGGUGCUCAAAGGCUCUUUUUGUUGUUGCUGGAUUCCUGAAGCCUGAGAGGAUUUCUUCUGUUUCUUGUUCCAGUUGUUCCAUAUGUUUUUUUCUCUUACGACGUUUCGUAUAUGCCA